UCCCAUAUUGUCUAGUGGUUAGGAUAUCCGGCUCUCACCAGGAAGGCCCGGGUUCGUUUCCCGGUAUGGGAA
rnacentral:tRNA from 1 species